rnacentral:rRNA from 3 species
GCGACCCCAGGUCAGGCGGGGCUACCCGCUGAAUUUAAGCAUAUCAAUAAGCG